GAUGAACGCUGGCGGCGUGCUUAACACAUGCAAGUCGAGCGAAGCGAUUUUAAGGAAGCCUUCGGGUGGAAUUAAGAUUGACUUAGCGGCGGACGGGUGAGUAACGCGUGGGUAACCUGCCUCAUACAGGGGGAUAACAGUUAGAAAUGACUGCUAAUACCGCAUAAGCGCACAGUGCUGCAUAGCACAGUGUGAAAAACUCCGGUGGUAUGAGAUGGACCCGCGUCUGAUUAGGUAGUUGGUGAGGUAACGGCCCACCAAGCCGACGAUCAGUAGCCGACCUGAGAGGGUGACCGGCCACACUGGGACUGAGACACGGCCCAAACUCCUACGGGAGGCAGCAGUGGGGAAUAUUGGACAAUGGGGGAAACCCUGAUCCAGCGACGCCGCGUGACUGAAGAAGUAUUUCGGUAUGUAAAGGUCUAUCAGCAGGGAAGAAAAUGACGGUACCUGACUAAGAAGCCCCGGCUAACUACGUGCCAGCAGCCGCCGUAACAC
rnacentral:rRNA from 1 species